GAUGAACGCUGGCGGCGUGCCUAAUACAUGCAAGUCGAGCGAACGGACGAGAAGCUUGCUUCUCUGAUGUUAGCGGCGGACGGGUGAGUAACACGUGGAUAACCUACCUAUAAGACUGGGGUAACUUCGGGAAACCGGAGCUAAUACCGGAUAAUAUUUUGAACCGCAUGGUUCAAAAGUGAAAGACGGUCUUGCUGUCACUUAUAGAUGGAUCCGCGCUGCAUUAGCUAGUUGGUAAGGUAACGGCUUACCAAGGCAACGAUGCAUAGCCGACCUGAGAGGGUGAUCGGCCACACUGGAACUGAGACACGGUCCAGACUCCUACGGGAGGCAGCAGUAGGGAAUCUUCCGCAAUGGGCGAAAGCCUGACGGAGCAACGCCGCGUGAGUGAUGAAGGUCUUCGGAUCGUAAAACUCUGUUAUUAGGGAAGAACAUAUGUGUAAGUAACUGUGCACAUCUUGACGGUACCUAAUCAGAAAGCCACGGCUAACUACGUGCCAGCAGCCGCGGUAAUACGUAGGUGGCAAGCGUUAUCCGGAAUUAUUGGGCGUAAAGCGCGCGUAGGCGGUUUUUUAAGUCUGAUGUGAAAGCCCACGGCUCAACCGUGGAGGGUCAUUGGAAACUGGAAAACUUGAGUGCAGAAGAGGAAAGUGGAAUUCCAUGUGUAGCGGUGAAAUGCGCAGAGAUAUGGAGGAACACCAGUGGCGAAGGCGACUUUCUGGUCUGUAACUGACGCUGAUGUGCGAAAGCGUGGGGAUCAAACAGGAUUAGAUACCCUGGUAGUCCACGCCGUAAACGAUGAGUGCUAAGUGUUAGGGGGUUUCCGCCCCUUAGUGCUGCAGCUAACGCAUUAAGCACUCCGCCUGGGGAGUACGACCGCAAGGUUGAAACUCAAAGGAAUUGACGGGGACCCGCACAAGCGGUGGAGCAUGUGGUUUAAUUCGAAGCAACGCGAAGAACCUUACCAAAUCUUGACAUCCUUUGACAACUCUAGAGAUAGAGCCUUCUCCUUCGGGGGACAAAGUGACAGGUGGUGCAUGGUUGUCGUCAGCUCGUGUCGUGAGAUGUUGGGUUAAGUCCCGCAACGAGCGCAACCCUUAAGCUUAGUUGCCAUCAUUAAGUUGGGCACUCUAAGUUGACUGCCGGUGACAAACCGGAGGAAGGUGGGGAUGACGUCAAAUCAUCAUGCCCCUUAUGAUUUGGGCUACACACGUGCUACAAUGGACAAUACAAAGGGCAGCGAAACCGCGAGGUCAAGCAAAUCCCAUAAAGUUGUUCUCAGUUCGGAUUGUAGUCUGCAACUCGACUACAUGAAGCUGGAAUCGCUAGUAAUCGUAGAUCAGCAUGCUACGGUGAAUACGUUCCCGGGUCU
rnacentral:rRNA from 1 species